ACGAGCAGGAGGGGAGAAGAGUGGAGAAAAGAGAGAGAGAGAGAGAGAGAGAGAGAGAGAGAGAAAAGACGACGAGAAUCGACGAGCAACGGCGCCACCAGCUGACCAGCGCAAAAUGAGACCUGCUGAAGGAGCAUCUCCGUCUUCGACGAGGGAAGGUGUUUCUGAUCAACCUUAACAGUAUGAGCCGCUGACUAAAGCCGCCGAAGAGUUAAUGUAGUUCCCGAAAAUGAUAAGCAGCGAGAGGCAGAGGCGUCGGAACGGCAGAACAUUCCCAAAAAUUGUGACGACUCACUUCUAAUCAUUUGUUCAGCGGGUUCAUAUUCGAUACAACCCCAGUCCCGAUUUCUUAGAUGCUCUGAACUCUGAGUGAAUAAAGUGGAUUUCUUUGAA